rnacentral:rRNA from 1 species
AUACGGAGGGUGCAAGCGUUAUCCGGAAUCAUUGGGUUUAAAGGGUCCGUAGGCGGAUUGGUAAGUCAGUGGUGAAAGUCUGCAGCUUAACUGUAGAAUUGCCAUUGAUACUGCUAGUCUUGAAUUACUGUGAAGUGAUUAGAAUGUGUAGUGUAGCGGUGAAAUGCAUAGAUAUUACACAGAAUACCAAUUGCGAAGGCAGAUCACUAACAGUAUAUUGACGCUGAGGGACGAAAGCGUGGGGAGCGAACAGGAUUAGAAACCCCAGUAGUCC